rnacentral:rRNA from 1 species
ACGGGUGCGUAACGCGUGGGAAUCUACCCUUAGGUUCGGAAUAACAGUUGGAAACGACUGCUAAUACCGGAUGAUGACGUAAGUCCAAAGAUUUAUCGCCUAGGGAUGAGCCCGCGUAGGAUUAGCUAGUUGGUGUGGUAAGGGCGCACCAAGGCGACGAUCCUUAGCUGGUCUGAGAGGAUGAUCAGCCACACUGGGACUGAGACACGGCCCAGACUCCUACGGGAGGCAGCAGUGGGGAAUAUUGGACAAUGGGCGAAAGCCUGAUCCAGCAAUGCCGCGUGAGUGAUGAAGGCCUUAGGGUUGUAAAGCUCUUUUACCCGGGAUGAUAAUGACAGUACCGGGAGAAUAAGCUCCGGCUAACUCCGUGCCAGCAGCCGCGGUAAUACGGAGGGAGCUAGCGUUAUUCGGAAUUACUGGGCGUAAAGCGCACGUAGGCGGCUUUGUAAGUUAGAGGUGAAAGCCUGGUGCUCAACACCAGAACUGCCUUUGAUACUGCAUCGCUUGAAUCCAGGAGAGGUGAGUGGAAUUCCGAGUGUAGAGGUGAAAUUCGUAGA